GACAAUACAAAGGGCAGCUAAACCGCGAGGUCAUGCAAAUCCCAUAAAGUUGUUCUCAGUUCGGAUUGUAGUCUGCAACUCGACUACAUGAAGCUGGAAUCGCUAGUAAUCGUAGAUCAGCAUGCUACGGUGAAUACGUUCCCGGGUCUUGUACACACCGCCCGUCACACCACGAGAGUUUGUAACACCCGAAGCCGGUGGAGUAACCAUUUAUGGAGCUAGCCGUCGAAGGUGGGACAAAUGAUUGGGGUGAAGUCGUAACAAGGUAGCCGUAUCGGAAGGUGCGGCUGGAUCACCUCCUUUCUAAGGA
rnacentral:rRNA from 1 species